rnacentral:rRNA from 1 species
UACGGAGGGGGCAAGCGUUGUUCGGAAUUACUGGGCGUAAAGCGCGUGUAGGCGGCUAUGUAAGUCAGGCGUGAAAGCCCCGGGCUCAACCUGGGAACCGCGCUUGAGACUGGAGUACUAGAGUUCGGGAGAGGAUGGUGGAAUUCCCAGUGUAGAGGUGAAAUUCGUAGAUAUUGGGAAGAACACCGAUGGCGAAGGGCAGCCAUCUGGACCGACACUGACGCUGAGGCGCGAAAGCGUGGGGAGCAAACAGG